CACUGAUAGCUUCAAAAUUUAUUUUGAUCGCAAUGUCGUUAAUCCUCGUAAAUUUUUGAAAUUAUCGUGACACAUGCCUUUACCUGGAUGCUCAUGCACCAGCAGCGUAGCGGCGACAGUUUUGCUCGCCUUGCUGCUGCUGCCGGCGGAGUUCUUUGUUCCAGACCUCACCCCGAAAUUGCCCCCUACGGCGCUGCCGCAAAACACGAUCUUCGUACCGGGCACAAAUACUUGGUUUUUCCUUGAUUUUCCGCCUCUCGAUAUAUUUUUAACUUUGGUUCUUCUUGUGUGGGCGACCACCACCUACCUGUGCGCUUGGAUACAAAGGAAGAUAAUGGAAAGACGAAUAUUAAAGCUAAGGGCGUCAUUACAAGACUGUGUGAAGCGCGCGCGAGGAUUGGAGGCGCAACAGGAGCAGACGGAGACCAGCAUCAGGCUCGCGCGUGCAGCGGCCGCGGAGUACGGGCUGUUGAUGCAUUUGCUGUUGGCACGCCGACGCCCUUCAUCACAAUUACGCUGCUAAUACGUUUAACCCUUAUUUUCGUAAUUGUAAUUACUGCGGCAAAGACUGGAAAGUAAACCUAGGGUCUCUUUGUCCUUCGUAAACACAAGCGUGACCGCGUGAGCGGUUGCAGUUGUGUAGAAUGAAGAAGGCUUGCGGCUCCCCUCC